rnacentral:rRNA from 1 species
GACGAACGCUGGCGGCGUGCUUAACACAUGCAAGUCGAACGGAAAGGCCCUGCUUUUGUGGGUUGCUCGAGUGGCGAACGGGUGAGUAACACGUGUGUAACCUCCCCCUGACUUUGGGAUAACUUCAGGAAACAGGGGCUAAUACCGCAUAGGAGCUCCUGCUGCAUGGUGGGGGUUGGAAAGAUUCGGCGGUUGGGGCUGGACUCGCGGCAUAUCAGCUUGUUUGUGGGGUAGUGGCUGACCCAGGCUUUGACGGAUAGCCGACCUGGGAGGGUGACCGGGCACAAUGGGACUGAGAGAGGGAGCAGACGGGAACGGGAGGCAACGGGGGGGAAUAUUGCACAGUGAGGGGGCGCGUGAGACAGCAGCGCCGGGGGCGGGAAGACGGCCUUCGGGGGAUGAACAGCUUUGGCCUGUGACGAAGCGUGAGUGACGGUAAUGGGUAAAGAAGCACCGGCUAACUACGUG